AACUACAGUGCGCUCGGAUAAAGCAGCUAUUAUGUCACUCAAAUGUGCAUGAAAUCACAAACUGGGAGGGAAUACAACUAUUCUGAACACAGCUGAAAUCCUAUUCACUCUGAGCAAUAGGAAUAAGUGGGCUAAGAUCAAUUACACCAAGCACAGUAUCAAGCAAUAAUUGUGCAACACUGCAGAUGAGGGAGGAGUUUGCAACUUGGAGGUUUCCAAUAACCAGAUUUCAGCCCAGUCUCUGUACACUGCAGACUGAUAUUAGAAAAUAAUUCCAAGUUUAAAGAGCUGAUUGUACCAAAUGUGGGAAUUCUCGAUCUCUGUUAGGAUGUCUGCAAUCUUCUUUAAAUUCCAGCACUGAGCAGAGUCUUCAGAGAAGAUCCUCACUGCAGGAGCCCUGCCCAAAUGCAGGCACAGUAAACAGGUGAACUGAAGGGGAUGGAUUCUGACAACCACAAAAUGCACCCUCACACUUCAGCAUCUUCAUUGACCCAUGAUUAGUGAAUUUAAAGAUCUAAUCAGCAUGUGAGU